AUGUAUGAAUACAUAUGUAUUUAUAAAAUAGAUUACACCAAAUCUAAAGAUCACCCAUAUAUCAGGAACAGGACACACCAGCAACAUCUUAAUACCAGGCAUGACCAACCCCACAAAACAACAAUAGGAUAAGAAGCACACCACAUACCAGGCAUUACUACCCCAUUACCCAAAACUACUGGUCCUUAUCAAACAAAAGAACAGCACAAAAUAACACUAGGUCAAGAAACACCCUGCAUACAAGAAAUUUCAAACAAAAAUAUGCUGCAUACAGAAAUGUUACACACAUCACUAACCAAAACACUGAUAGACAUCCACACACAUACAUAGCAAUCUAAGGCAACAGUACCACCACUUCCCUGGACCAAUCCCAUACAACCUCACAGACAGCUCAUACAAACAAAACUGCAACCAACAUUUUUUUAACCCCAGAGCAGAGACACCAGGACACAAGUUGGAACCUGGUGAUCAGGAAAAACCAAAGUUAAUUAACUUCUCAACUAAAACUCUUUCAAGCACAAAGAUAGACAUCCUCUCAAAAGGGUUAAAAUGCAUCCCAACACCAUGCAGAAUCAACCAAAAUGAAGUGAAGGACAGUAUAAUAGAAUUCUGUAGAAAAUUAAGACUCGCAGAAGCAUUAACCAAUUACAAUACUAAAGAUGACUCACUAGUCAAAAACAAAAGUGAACCCCCCACCACCACCACCAUAAAGGAAGAAAUAAAAAUCUUGAUGAAUCCUGCAACCACAUUGAGAACUUUCCCUUCCACACCAUGUAUAAACAGAAAAUUACCUCAAACUUUAGCACUACACAAUGGAAGGAACUAACAGAACUUCAAAAUAAUGAAGAUAUAACGAUUAAGGAAGCAGAUAAGGGAAGUGUGGUGGUAGUAACGGACACAUUAUACUAUAAAAAUCUAGUAAUUUCCAUGCUUAAUGAAAGUCAACAUUACGAAAAAAUCACAAACUACAACCCUCAAAAAAUAAUGAAAACCCUAUUCUCACUAAUUAAAACCCAUGGAAAAGAACUGACAACCAAAAAAUUGAGCAUUUAACAAACUUUAAAUGCAAACCUAGCCUAUUCUAUGGUCUACCAAAAGUCCACAAAAGAAAGAUUAUAAAUGAAGCCAUAAAAAAUCACUAAAGACAUACAUACACCAGGGGACCUAAAAUUGUGACCCAUUAUAGCUGGCCCAGUAUGUGAAACACAGACUAAGUCUGUUUAUGGACAUCCUCCUGAAACCCUUUCUUAAACACAUCAAUAGUUAUAUCAGAGAUGACUUAGACAUGUUAAUCACCUCCCAGAAAAGUCAAGGAAGAAACAAUCAUGGUUUCAUUUGAUGUGAUUAAUUUAUAUACCAGUAUACCUCAUAAUUAUGGACUAGAGGCAAUUCAGUUCUGGCUGGACCAAUAUCCAGAAGAAAUACCGAAAAGGAUUAGCAAAGAGUUCAUAAUUGAAUCCAUUGAAUUCAUCCUACUGAACAAUCAUUUAAUGUUUGAUAACACUUUUUAUCAACAAAAAUCUGAAAUUGCCAUGGGUACUAGGGCAGCCCUGGUCAUUGCCCAACAAUGGGCUAUCUGGAAAUAAGAAUAUACCAGGAAUCUUUAUCUACCUUUAGAAACUCUCUUUCUCAAUACAUAAAAGAAAAUUUGAAAAGAUUCCUGGAUGACUGUUUCAUCCUUUGGAAUGAAAACAGACAAACUCCUGGAAUUCAAAAGAUUAUUGAACAGCAUCAACCCUAACAUACAAUUCCCGAUGGAAUACAACCAAGAGGAGCUCCCUUUCUUGGAUAUAUUAGUUAAAAAAAUAAACCUAAAAACAGAAACGGACACAUUUUACAAAACCACAGACGCCAAACGAUAUCUACUUUUUAAUUCCUGCCACCCAAGACACACCGAAACAAACAUCCCAUUCAACCUUGCACCAUAGUAUCAGAAAAAAAUAUCAGACUUUAGACUGCAAGAACUCAAAAAUACCCUCAUUGACAGAUACUACCCAGUCCAACUUAUAGAGGAUGGAAUCAGACUUGCAACACAAAUCGACAUAAAAACCUUACGAAAAGUACAAUACAGCAACACACCCUCCCUGAAAAUACUGCUGAACAUAACCAUUUACAACCCCAGAAACAAAGAAGCCUUCACCAUCAUCACCCAAAAUCUACCAAUGCUACAUAAGGACCCCAAACUAAAGGAAAUUUUACACAUACAUAAGAUCCUUGAAAGCCACAAACAACCAAAGUCACUAAGAAAGAUCCUCACAAAGGCAAAAUUAUUUUCUAAAAUAACAGAUGCAAAAGUUAAAAAAUGUGGUCAACCAAAUUGUGCAACAUGACUCAUCAUUCUAGAAGGAUCAGAAUUCCUUAUUAAAGAGGACAAAAAUUCAAAAUCAAAUCUGACUUUACUUGUGCCUUGGAAAACCUGAUUUAUGUUAUAAGAUACUUCGGCUGCCACCAGAAUUACAUAGAGUCCAUGGGAUUAUCGCUCAGGCACAGAUGUACUCUGCACCGACAGCAGAUUGUGUUCCCAGAAUACAGAAUGAUACCCUUUAGUGAACACAUUGACAGAUGCGCAAAAUAACUGCUACCACAAUUUGUAAUCUUUCCAUUUUGUCAAUGUGCUAUUGGAAUACCAAUACAAGUUAGAUUAAAAAAGGAAACCUACUUCAUUGAAAAAUAUAAGCCAAAACUUAACCAGUUCUAGCAUUUUUAAAUAAGGAAACUUACCUCAUUGAAAAAUUGUGGUGUUAUGAGCCAGGCUGUGUUGUAGAGAUGGAUCGGAAGUUAGGGAGUAGGCAUGUACUGUUGGAAGUGGGGCCUGUGGGUCCUACCAGAAGUGCUGUGGUGGGCAUGCUGCAUCAGAGAAGCGUGAGGAGUCAGUUGGCAGUGGACAGCGCAUCAGAGCAGAUAUGUGAGACUGUUCAACAAUGGAUAGCGUAUGUGGACGUGGAGUGAACCUUGUAGAUUGAGAGAGCACGUGGAUGUUGAAAGUGACCCUUUUUUCAGACUGACAGGAUUGUAGACUCUUCAGGCUUUGCAUGAAAGUAAAGAAAAAUGAAAAACUGUUUUUGUAACAUGUCACAACAAAAUGAAUGCACAUCAGGACGAUGAUUGGGAUCAUGUGGAUGAGAAAGGCGCGAUCCAGAGAGGAGUGGACAGCGUGUUGUGACCAGCGGUGUCAAAUGGACACCUGAUGGACUGGUCGGUCAAGGUGAUCAAGGUGAUGACACUAUUUAUUCUAACUAUUUGUGAAACAC